rnacentral:rRNA from 1 species
AUUGAACGCUGGCGGCAUGCUUUACACAUGCAAGUCGAACGGUAACAGGGAGCUUGCUCCGCUGACGAGUGGCGAACGGGUGAGUAAUGCGUCGGAACGUGCCGAGUAGUGGGGGAUAACGCAUCGAAAGGUGUGCUAAUACCGCAUACGUACUGAGGUAGAAAGUGGGGGACCUUCGGGCCUCACGCUAUUCGAGCGGCCGACGUUUGAUUAGCUAGUUGGUGGGGUAAAGGCUCACCAAGGCGACGAUCAGUAGCGGGUCUGAGAGGAUGUUCCGCCACACUGGGACUGAGACACGGCCCAGACUCCUACGGGAGGCAGCAGUGGGGAAUUUUGGACAAUGGGCGCAAGCCUGAUCCAGCCAUGCCGCGUGUCUGAAGAAGGCCUUCGGGUUGUAAAGGACUUUUGUCCGGGAGCAAAUACCCAGUGCUAAUAACGCUGGGGGCUGAGAGUACCGGAAGAAUAAGCACCGGCUAACUACGUGCCAGCCGCCGCAGUAAGAC